GGGUCAGUAGGUUGGUCGUGCCACCGGUACGUACUGGUCUCACUGAUCCCUCCUUCCUGAAGAACCGUAAUGCCAUUAAUUUGGUGUUGCGGGGAAACAGGACUGUUACUUUGAAAAAAUUAGGGUGUUUAAAGCAAGCUAACGCUUGAAUACAUUAGCAUGGAAUAAUGAAAUAGGACGAUCGAUCCUAUUUUGUUGGUUUCUAGGAUUGACGUA
rnacentral:rRNA from 1 species